rnacentral:lncRNA from 1 species
CCGUUAUGUCUCCCCAGCCUGGUGAAUCCUGAGCCGGAGCUGCCAGAGUGGCCAGACUGCCCGGAGCUGCCAGAGUGGCCAGACUGCCCGGAGCUGCCAGAGUGGCCCUCCUGUCCUCCGGCCCAGCCAGAGUGGCCCUCCUGUCCUCCGACCCAGCCCGAGUGGCCCUCCUGUCCUCCGGCCCAGCCCGAGUGGCCCUCCUGUCCUCCGGCCCAGCCCGAGUGGCCCUCCUGUCCUCCGGCCCAGCCCGAGUGGCCCUCCUGUCCUCCGGCCCAGCCCGAGUGGCCCGCCUGUCCUCCGGCCCAGCCCGAGUGGUCCGUCUGCCAGGGUCAGCCCAAGUGGCCCGUCUGCCCGGCGCAGCUAUCGGCGCCACCGAAGUGGGCGACGCCGAAGGUGGAGCGAGGUCCACGUCCUGCACCUGAGCCACCUCCAGGAUAGACAGCCGUUACACAUCUCUGUCAGUCUGUCUACAAAGCGGGACAGGAAAAUGGUCCAAUUCACGCAUUUAUCAAGAGAACAUCCCUGCUUUGUUUAGCGGAGAUGCUGUGAGUCGAGAAGCAGGUGAAACAUUUAAUAAAACAACAAACAUGAAACGAGACAACAUAACAGUGGCGUUUACGAAUGAACACAUGGAACAAUACUGACUGAAGAAGGAACCCAAGGGAGUGACAGAUAUAGAGGAGGUAAUCAGGAAGUCCAGGUGAGUAUCAUUAUGAUCUGCAGGUGCGUGUAAUGAUGAUGCCAGGUGUGCGUAAUGAUGGAUCCCAGGACCAGUGGUUAGUAUUCCGGCGACGUCAAACGCCGGAGGGGAGGAGCAGACGUGACAAGCUUGAGUUACCUGGGGUGAUAGAGAGUUCCAUGUAGUCAUGGCUCUAUUUAAUACUGUGCCUUUCCCAGCCUAUGUUCUGGACCUGGGGACUGUGAAGAGACCUGUGGUUGCAUGUCUUAUGUUGUACCGAUGAAUGUCUGAACUCCGUGCCAGCUGCUUGAACAGACAGUUCGGUACCUUCAACACACCAAUACCCUGCACAAAGACCAAUAGUAAUGCAGUCAAUCUCUCCUCAACUUUUAGCCAGGAGAGACAUGCAUGUUACUGACACUUUCCCUCCAUGUACAUCUAAGUACAAUAAGCGCUGCUUUGUUCUGGACCAACUGCAAUUGACAUAUGUCCUUCUCUGCCGCACAUGACCACACAGCAGGGCAGUAGACGACAAAGCUAGGGCCUGUAAGACUUGUCUGGUCGACUGAGAUGUCAAGAAGGCAGAGCAACGUCCAAUCAUGGACAGACCUCUUCCUAUUUUAGCAACCAUUGAGUCUGUAUGUUUUGACCAUGAAAGCUUGCUAUAUAGGGUUACACCCAGCAGUUUAGUCUCCUUAACUUGCUCAAUAGCCACAUUAUUCAAUAAUAGAUCUAAACGAGGUUGAGCGAGUGAUUUGUCCCAAAAAGUUUGCUUUUUGAGAUAUUUAGCACCAGCCUAUUGCUAGAUAUCCAUUCUAAAACUGACUGGAGCUCUGUGUUAUUUUACUGCUGCAGCCGACAUGUAUACUGCUUAGUCGUCAGCGUACAUAGACACACAGGCUUUAUUCAAGGUCAAAUCAAGUCAAAAAUCACACCGAGUACAACAAAUGCUUACUUACAAGCCCUUAACCAACAAUGCAGUUUUAAGAAAAAAAAAGUGUUAAGAAUAUAUUUACUAAAUAAACUGAAGUAAACAACAAAUAAAUAACAAACAAAAAAGUAAAAAAGUAAAAUAAAUAAAUAAAAGAGCAACAAUAAAAUAACAGUAACGAGGGUAUAUACAGGAAGCACCGUUACAGAGUCAAUGUGCAGGGGCACAGGUUAGUCGAGGUAUUAGGUAAUAUGUACAUGUAGGUAGAGACAAUAAACAGAGAGAAGCAGCAGUGUAAAAAUGUGUGUGGGGGGGUAAUAGUCCGGGUAGCCAUUUGGUAGGCUGUUCAGGAGUCUUAUGGCUUGGGAGUAGAAGCUGUUAAGAAGCCUUUUGGACCUAGACUUGGCACUACCGUGCAGUAGCAGAGGGAACAGUCUAUGACUAGGGUGGCUGGAGUCUGACAAUUUUUAGGGCCUUCCUCUGACAUCGCCUGGUAUAGAUGUCCUGGAUGGCAGGAAGCUUGGCCCCAGUGAUGUACUGGGCUGUACGCACUACCCUCUGUAGUACCUUGCGGUCGGAGGCCGAGUAGUUGCCAUACCAGGCAGUGAUGCAACCAGUCAGGAUACUCUCGAUGGUGCAGCUGUAGAACUUUAUGAAGAUCUGAGGACCCAUGCCAAAUCUUUUCAGUGUCCUGUCAUGCCCUCUUCACUACUGUCUUGGUAUGUUUGGACCAUGACAAUUCAUUGGUGAUUUUGACACCAAAGAACUUGACGCUCUCAACCUGCUCCACUACAGACCAGUUGAUGAUAAUGGCGACGUGAUCGGCCCA